UAAGGAACUUGAUUCUUUGAUAAACAGUGGAAGCUGUCAAAACCGGCAGCUGUCCAAUCCUGCAAGUUGUCAACAUCGGCAUAAAAACUCAGUCCCGUCUGUGGCUAGUACAUUUAUCAUCAUUUAAAAGCUCUUGCAAUCCGGCAGCUGUCAGU